AGAGAAGAUUUUUUUU
rnacentral:misc_RNA from 1 species